UACGUAGGGUGCGAGCGUUAAUCGGAAUUACUGGGCGUAAAGCGUGCGCAGGCGGUGAUGUAGGACAGGUGUGAAAUCCCCGGGCUUAACCUGGGAACUGCAUUUGUGACUGCAUCGCUGGAGUGCGGCAGAGGGGGAUGGAAUUCCGCGUGUAGCAGUGAAAUGCGUAGAUAUGCGGAGGAACACCGAUGGCGAAGGCAGUCCCCUGGGCCUGCACUGACGCUCAUGCACGAAAGCGUGGGGAGCAAACAGG
rnacentral:rRNA from 1 species